GAUGAAGAACGCAGCGAAAUGCGAUAAGUAAUGUGAAUUGCAGAAUUCAGUGAAUCAUCGAAUCUUUGAACGCACAUUGCGCCUGCCAGUAUUCUGGCGGGCAUGCCUGUUCGAGCGUCAUUUCAACCCUCAGGCCCCGUCUGGCGUUGGGGAUCGGCGCGGCCCUCUCCGGGCUGCCGGCCCCGAAAACUAGUGGCGGUCUCGCUGUAGUCCUCCUCUGCGCAGUAGCAACGCUCGCACUGGAACUCGGCGCGGCCACGCCGUAAAACACCCCACUUCUGAAAGUUGACCUCGGAUCAGGUAGGAAUACCCGCUGAACUUAAGCAUAUCAAUAAGCGGAGGA
rnacentral:misc_RNA from 1 species